UACGUAGGGUGCAAGCGUUGUCCGGAAUUAUUGGGCGUAAAGAGCUUGUAGGCGGUUUGUCGCGUCUGCUGUGAAAUUUCGGGGCUCAACCCCGAACUUGCAGUGGGUACGGGCAGACUAGAGUGUGGUAGGGGAGACUGGAAUUCCUGGUGUAGCGGUGAAAUGCGCAGAUAUCAGGAGGAACACCGAUGGCAAGGCAGGUCUCUGGGCCAUAACUGACGCUGAGAAGCGAAAGCAUGGGGAGCGAACAGGG
rnacentral:rRNA from 1 species